rnacentral:SRP_RNA from 1 species
GCCGGGUGCGGUGGCAUGUGCCUGUAAUCCAAGUCACUGGGAGGCUGAGGUUGGUGGAUCAAGUGAGCUGAGGAGCUCUGGGCUGCAGCACGCUAUGUCGAACGGGUGUCCACGCUAAGUUCGGUAUCGAUAUGGUGUUCCUGGGGAGCCCGGGACCACCAGGUUGUCUAAGGAGGGGUGAACCGGCCAGGUCGGAAACGAAGCAGGUCAAAUCCCCCGUGCUGUCCAGUAGUGGGAUAAUACCUGUGAGUAGAUGCUGCAGUGCAGCCUUGGCAAAACAUCGAGACCUAAUCUUUU